AUGGAAAAACCCACUGUUCCUUUCCUGUGGAAGACUUUGUUUUGCUACCAGCACAGCUGUGCAAUUUCAGACAAUCCUUUCAUCUUCCUGAGCUUUAGGUUCAUCAUGCUAUUGAUGAUGAUGGUGGUGGUGAUGAUGAUGAUGAAGAAGAAGAGGAAGGAGCAGCAGCAGAAGCAGCAUACUUGCCCUAGCAGAGGAAGGGACAGCAGAAUAUUGAAACAGCUCCUUGGACAUGCCAGGGUCAAGGAGGCACCACAGACUGUGUGCAGAGACAGCUGAUUUGCAUCUUGUGUUGUUAUGAUGGUGAACCUGGACAAUUUCAUAGACAACAGACAACCCCAGGAACACAGACUUGAUUUCUAACAUUCCAAAGGGAGGAAAGAAUGGCUGGCAUCUACUCAGUUCCAAGGAUACCUGCCCUGUUGCUUUUUCCCACUGCAUGGCACACAUGCCUUGGCUGUGCUGAGCAUCAGCCACUUAUAAGGGGCUGAGGGCCAGCCUUGCUUGUACCAUUUCAGACCUCUGCACCAUUGCAGGUACUGGAAUGCCCACAUCCCCUUGGUUCCCCCGUGAACUCCUGGCCUGGCCAACUGCCAGCAGCCAGUGGCGACUGUAGUUUUUCCAGCAGGCUUUCUUCACCUGCCAUUUUGGGUAACUGCCUCUGGUCCCCUCAUGGGUUUAUACUUUCUCUGGUAGUACUAAGACUGAGAGUUAAAGUUCCUUAGCAAUGUCUUUGCUGAUUGCUCUAUCUCUUUAACUAGACAGUGGGCUUUCUGAGAGCAGGGACCUUGGCUGUCUUGCUCACUCUCAUAUCCUCAGCACAAAGGACACUUCCUGGUAGGCAGAAGGCACUCAGUAAGUGCUCAAGUGCCAAAUGAAGACACGAAUGAACAACAUCCACAGGUAAUACUCUGUGUCUGGUGAGACAUAUUCAGUUUCCAGGAGAUCUGAAACUCCUGCAGUUAAGCAUUCUAAGGUGUUAUUCUAUUGUCAGUAGAAGGAGCCCUUUAAAAGUCCCAUCAGUGAUCUGUUCUUAUUCCUCAGUACCUUAGCAUGAGCGAGUUUGCAGCAUUACAAGGUAUCUGAGGAAAUGGACUGGUCUGGGUACAAUUUUGGAGUGGAAGGGGGAAGUAUAACUGUGAGGCAAGAGGUGAGUAAGAAUGAUCUGGAAUGAGGCUGUGGGCUACUAUCUAAGCAGGUCUCUGAACUGAGGGGCUCCUUAUGGGCAUGACACCCAGAACAGUGUCCUUGUUAGAGAAGAGGGCUGGGAAGGAGAGGG
rnacentral:lncRNA from 1 species